GGAAAAGAGAAGCAGAAUGUUGACUGGGACAGUUUAAGGUUACAGGCUGAGAGCAAUGGUAAGAAAAGAGAAAAGACAGCAAACACAAUGGAUUCACUAGACUGGGACGCAGUGAGGUGUGCAGAUGUCAAUGAGAUAUCCCAUACCAUUAGAGAACGGGGGAUGAACAAUAUGCUAGCAGAGAGAAUCAAGGAUUUCCUUAAUCGGAUUUUUAGAGAACAUGGAAGUAUUGAUCUUGAAUGGCUGAGAGACGUUCCACCAGACAAAGCAAAAGAG
rnacentral:misc_RNA from 1 species